GCUCCGUUGGUGAACCAGCGGAGGGAUCAUUACCGAGUUUACAACUCCCAAACCCCUGUGAACAUACCAUUUGUUGCCUCGGCGGUGCCUGCUUCGGCAGCCCGCCAGAGGACCCAAACCCUUGAUUUUAUACAGUAUCUUCUGAGUAAAUGAUUAAAUAAAUACAACUUUCAGCAACGGAUCUCUUGGCUCUC
rnacentral:misc_RNA from 1 species